AAUGUCUGGUCCAAGGACACAGACAGGUAGUGUGAGCAGGUUUCAAACCCAGGUCUACAUAUUGACAGGCCAGCUCUGUAUCCACUCAGCUACUUGUUCUAUUACCACUACAUUUACUUCAACAAUUAGU